GAGCUGUGUCCCGCGGCUGCUUAACGGCGAAAGCUUCCUAUUUGUAACCCGAACCGUCUGAGCUACUGGGCAUGCCCAGUCCCACCACUGGAAAGAGUGGGCAGAGAAGAGAGAGCUUUGAUUCUGACAUGAGAGUCAAAUUUCAAAAUGCAAAGAACGAAGUGUUUAAAAAAUGCCUGGUGAUGCCCCCCCAGUACCGCCAGCUGCUGAGUGACCAUGGGCCACUAUCCAUAGGCUACACCCAGGGAGCUGGGAACAGCCAGGAGCCCCAGUGAAGAGUUGGGGAGAGAUCAACCCUGCCUACGUGGAGUAAGAACAGAAUAAAGAGACUAAAUCGAGGCAUUAUUCACUCUAGAAAGCUGGUAAGGUAAGUGCUUGGCUAAAACCGAACAGAGUGCCAUAUCCUUGCUGCUUUUGGCUUUAAAGGUUUUCCAUCUUUUUACAAGAUGAGAAGUUACAGUUCACCUCCCCUGUUUCGAUGAAACUCUUGUUUUCAAAAUGCUAACAGGUUGGUUUUUCCUCCCAUGUUUCACCUGGCUCUGAACUACAGUCUCACAGAUUGAAAAAAGAUUUUGCAGUUAAUUAGAAUUUACAUUUUCAGUAGUUAGGAAUUACCCAAGUUAUUUUUUAAGCAUUGAUUUAAAAGGUGCAUGUAAAGUUAUCUCAGCAAACUAGUUUGCCUCUAAGAUACCAGUGUCUCCCUUUAACCUUCUCCUUUGAAUAUGUUUCUGUGCCCCAAACUGUUCUGUUAAGCUAAUACAACCAUAAGGAUUUUGUUUCAAUGCAUACUAACAGCGCACUUAGUAGCCACUCCUCGUUUCUGCUUAAUAUAACUUUUUUGCAUAAACAUAUGCAUGACUAUUAGUGCACUGAAGUCAAUUUUUAAAAUGCACAAGUUAUAAAUACAGCAGAAUAACCUACCAAACUUAACAAGGAACACCCAAAAUUUUCAAACUAUCAGUAGAUUUCGGUUAUGCAUACUUUAAGUUGAUCAAAACUGGAAGAAAAUAACUGUUUAUAUCUUUAUAUGUAUUUAUUACUUGAUGCAAUAAAGCUUAUUUUCAUUAACA